GGGGAAUAUUGGACAAUGGGGGGAACCCUGAUCCAGCCAUGCCGCGUGUGUGAAGAAGGCCUUAGGGUUGUAAAGCACUUUCAGUGGGGAGGAAGGCUUCUGGCUAAUAAUCGGAAGUACUUGACGUUACCCACAGAAGAAGCACCGGCUAAUUUCGUGCCAGCAGCCGCGGUAAUACGAAAGGUGCGAGCGUUAAUCGGAAUUACUGGGCGUAAAGCGCGCGUAGGCGGUUUGUUAAGUCUGAUGUGAAAGCCCCGGGCUCAACCUGGGAAUGGCAUCGGAUACUGGCAAGCUAGAAUGCGGUAGAGGGGGGUGGAAUUCCAUGUGUAGCGGUGAAAUGCGUAGAUAUGUGGAGGAACACCAGUGGCGAAGGCGGCCCCCUGGACUGACAUUGACGCUGAGGUGCGAAAGCGUGGGGAUCAAAC
rnacentral:rRNA from 1 species